AUGAGCUUAACAUCUCGAGGGACUGGGAGCCACCAGAGGAUGCACAAGAGAAGCCUCAGCAACUGCCUCUGCUUGCCUAAGAAUUCAAAAGCAAAGCUGAAGAGGUUUCCAGUUGGAUCUACAGGAGAAGACCUGAACUCCACUGGGACACUGGGCUGCAGGCGCAAAUGCCUAGAGAAUUACUGCAGUGCCUCUGUGUUGCUCCAUCCUUUGUUCCAUGUGUCCCUUGGAGUGGCACACCAAGCUCCAUCAGCAUUCCUGCUUCUAAGUGUGGGGGAGAGUGGAUCCAUGAUGGUGGUAGGACUUCAGGCCCUUGGAGGUACCAGGUUUCAUCCCAGUAUCUGA
rnacentral:lncRNA from 1 species